GAGAAGGCUUGGUGCUGCUGCAGUGGAUAUGUGUCAUGUUGCUUUGGGGAUUGCUGAAGCAUAUUGGGAAUAUCGUCUAAAGCCAUGGGACAUGGCUGCAGGAGUUCUGAUAGUUGAAGAGGCUGGAGGGACAGUUUCGUGUAUGGAUGGAGGAAGUUUUUCAGUAUUUGAUAGAUCUGUCUUGGUAUCCAAUGGUUUGCUCCAUGCAAAGCUCCUUGAGAAAAUUGGUCCAGCAACGGAAAAUUUGAAGAGCAAAGGGAUUGAUUUCUCAGUGUGGUUCAAGCCAGAAAAUUACCAUACAGAAGUUUGAUACGUCCUGUGUUUUGUCCUUUAGAUGUGCUGCUUGAAAGAUUCUUCUACAAUCAGAUUUUGAUUAGGUCGGUAUUUGCAUUUGUAUUUUCUAUUUUACAUAUUAUUGUAUGGAACUGGUCAAAUAUACGUCGG
rnacentral:misc_RNA from 1 species